CAAUAGCGUAUAUUAAAGUUGUUGCAGUUAAAAAGCUCGUAGUUGGAUUUCUGGAUUGAAGGUCCGGUCCGCGCACCUCUGGUGCGUGUGUACUAUGGAUAUUUGGUCCAUUUUACUAGAGAUGUUUUCUGCCAUUAGGUUGGUGGGGAGCAAUUUUCUAGUUCUUUCACUGUGAAUAACUCAGCUUGCUCCAGAAAGGCGUUUGCCAUAUUUUGAAUGUAUUAGCAUGGAAUAAUAAGAUAAGACUUUGGUGGUCUGUAUUUUGUUGGUUUACACACCAGAGUAAUGAUUAAUAGGGACAGUUGGGGGUAUCUAUAUUUCAUUGUCAGAGGUGAAAUUCUUGGAUCAAUGAAAGAUAAACUAAUGCGAAAGCAUUUACCAAGGAUGUUUUCUUUAA
rnacentral:rRNA from 1 species